AACGAACGCUGGCGGCGCGCCUAACACAUGCAAGUCGAACGGCAGCACAGCAGUAGCAAUACUGUGGGUGGCGAGUGGCGGACGGGUGAGGAAUACGUCGGAAUCUGCCCAGUCGUGGGGGAUAACUAGCCGAAAGGUUAGCUAAUACCGCAUACGACCGAGAGGUGAAAGCGGGGGGACCGCAAGGCCUCGCGCGAUUGGAUGAGCCGACGUCGGAUUAGCUAGUUGGCGGGGUAAAGGCCCACCAAGGCGACGAUCCGUAGCUGGUCUGAGAGGAUGAUCAGCCACACUGGAACUGAGACACGGUCCAGACUCCUACGGGAGGCAGCAUGGGGAAUAUUGGGACAAUGGGCGCAAGCCUGAUCCAGCAAUGCCGCGUGUGUGAAGAAGG
rnacentral:rRNA from 1 species